rnacentral:rRNA from 1 species
ACAUACGCUCAUACCUACUGGAAAACUCGGGAUCCCGUCCGCUCUCCCAUAGAUAAGCCAGUAAGGGCCGGAUUAGUAGUUAGGUCGGUGACGACCAGCGAAUACCUGGUGUUGUAUGUU